CUCCAUUUUGGGCUUCACUAUCAGCAGAAGCCUGGGCUUGUUCGUCGGGUGGGGGCUCUCCACCUCCUCCUCACCGGAGACGAAGAAGUCGCGGGAGAACUCGGGCAGCGCCGGCAGGUUCAGGUCAAACGUCUCUCGGGGGUGGCCGUGGCUGACCGCGUGAGAAGUUGACCCGACUCCCUCAGAGGAAGUUAUAGCGCUUGUGGUAGCGGUGGAUCCUGCGGCGCCGCCAUCGUAGUGGCAGCGCUUGUGGCCGCCCAAGGCUUGACCGGUGGGGAAAGACUUGUGGCAUAUGGAGCACUCGUGGGACCUUCCCG
rnacentral:lncRNA from 1 species